UGGGCGGAGACGGGGCUAGCUGGACAGAAGGUCGGGAGAAAUGUGUACUAAACCUGAUAUUUCAGGUGUGGGAGAAUCCCACCUCCCCCAAAACACACACUGCGCACAGGUGCCUGCGAUUCCUGUUAGAGAACAGGGUUAAGGUAUAAUAUACCCUUGUGGGUAGAUGACAGCCAGCGCCUUGAACACGCGCUGUAUUUACAAGGAGAGAGCAGAGGAUACAGGGCAAGGGAGGGGAGGUGGCCGCGGAGACGUCGCUAGGCUGCCUAGGGUCUUGCGGACCGUGGAGAAUGCCCUGAGGUCACACUGGUAUUGAAGCUAUGAAAAAAGAGCAAACAUCUUGAUGCUCCGUUUGGGUGGCAUCUUCUGAGAAGAGAGUCCUGCUAAAGGAGAGCCUGGCGGUAGGAUGGUUCUUACCUCACUCAUUUGCAGAGAAUUGGCUUUUGCCAGGACAACCUCUGGCGUGUCGACAAUGGAAGUGAAUUUCAAGGCUUCUGGGCGUGUCCUGUAGAGUCUUUCAUUCAGCAGGUCUUGAGCACCCUUCACCCUGGUCAUUUCUACUGAGCCUUCUGGCAUCCAGCCAAUGCCACGCAGCCAAUCCAGGUCUGCUUUGUACACAUUCUACAGAGACAUUAGACAGAAAUAUUGUUCCAAGUGCUAGACAUAGCAUCCCUUAAUUGGAAAGUAAGUUCACGGAGUUGAGGGGUUGAUAAGCACAGGAGAUGGUGGUUCCAAAAAAGUAGGACCUGAGAUUUUACAUGAAUCAGGGGUUUCAAUAUCCAUGACAGAGUAAUUUGUAAAAGCAUAAUUUUUUAUGCUAGCCAUGAAUAAGGAUAAAAUGGUAAUAAUGCUAAAUUUCAUGGUAAUUAUUUGAUAUUUCAAAGAAAUUAUAUAACUGGAAAACAAUUUAAAGAUAUUGUGCCAAAUCUCAUUUCAUUUUCAUCCUGUAAUAGGAUGAAACUCUGUUUAGUGUUUUGGAUAUAGUACAAGAGUGGCAGUUAUUUUUUAAAUGUUCAGAUAAUUUACGCUUAUUUUAAAUAUAUUUUCAUUGCCAGACAGUACAAAGGACAUGAAGAGAAUAGUCUGGAAUCUAGGCCAGGGAGGACAUGACCUAAGUAGGGUUCUUCAUCUAUGUUCUUUGAUUCCCAUAACAAAACUCCUAAAUAUGGGUUUUGUUUUAACAAUGUGAAUGGCCCCCCCUGAGGUUGUGCAGUGAGCAACCCAUGGGUCUGUCCACAGAGGCACUGUCUGUACAAUUAACAAAUCUAUGUCCUCCCAUUCCUCCUUUCCCAAAGAUCACGUUACGUACAUCACUCUGUAGUUCAUAGGCCUUCCUUGCUUGGAUAAUGUCGUUUUGAUCAGGUAAGCACGUCCAGUGAUGCAGGUAAUUUCGAUAAUCAAUGUUACUGACCAGAAUCUGACAUUUCUUGGCCAGCAAGAUGCCUAACAUGUCCACUGGGCUACUGAACUUGGUCUUCCACUUCUGGAAAUCCUUCUUAUACUCUCUUUCACUUUGAAUCUUCCCUGCAUGUAUGGCACACAUAAUCUUGGGGUCAUCUUCAAUGCUCUGGGCUCCAAUGUGGUGGCCUUUCUGUUUCUCAUAUGCUUCUUUGUAUUUGUACUAAAACAUAAGAAACAUAUGUUUAAAAGCCCAGUUUUAAAACCAUAUGCAUGCUGACAAUUAGACAACAUGAAAACCCACAAGCAAAUGGAUAAGAAUUUCAUAUUUUGAAUAUUUUGACAUCUCUGAACAAUUUUAAACUGUUUUAUGCUGUCAUAAACGUAACAGUAGUGUAAUCAUAUAUCUUCACUGCUGAAAACUUUUUCUGCAACAACUCUAACUACAAUUUCAAAAUGUGUUUUUCUUCUCUGAGACAACAAAGGGAAAGGUCUUGGAAGGUAAGAAGCAUGACUGGAGGGGUAUAUGAGGAAGCAGUUACAAACUGUGGACCACCAGCUGCACUGUGGUUGUUCAGCAAGGUGAGACCAAGGGGGUUAGACAGAGAGCACUUACGUCACUGGCAAUGUCUCUCGAGGCCUUGGCACUCUUGAUGGGAAUAGCAUCAGCUCUCAGAUCAUAGUCCUUCAUCUUUGAUUCAUCCCAUCCCUUGGUGUAAAGUUUCUAGGUGGAGGAUAAUACACAACAGAAAAAGAAAAGAGUUAUAGAAAGUUAACAGGCCACUUCCAGUAAGGAAGGUGGUAAGAUGGGAAAAGUAUUUUAAUUACUCCUAGACUAAAGGCUGACUUAACAAUCAGGAAAUCUCUUACUUGGCUUAUAUUGGCAGAAUUGCUCUUGGCCAGCUUGAUUUCUGGGGUGUCCGGCAUCACGUGGAUGGAGGUUUUGUCAGUAUCCCAGGCUUCUGUAUAUAAAUGCUAUAGGGGAGGUGAGGUAAAACCCUUUGUUAAAGCCAAUACAUUGCAGUUAUUAUAAAAUUUAACUCAUUUAACUGUAAAAUAGCCUUUGAAAACUUAUGUGGAGGUGAGGGAAGCAAAAGGGUAUGGGGAGAGUAAAUCAUGGCAAUAUUUAAACAGACAUAUGAUCGUUUCAUAGCCAAUGUAAAGCAACAUCAUGAUCUCAAUUAUUGAUUCUUUUCAUCCAGUGACUCUCAAGCUUACUCACAGAACCUUCAAGGAUGGAGCUUGGCUAUAGAGCUAUGAUAUAGUAGAAAUCCCUAGACUUCAGAAUCAAUCCCAAGGUCAAACCCAACUCCCCGAUGUCCAAGCUGUGUGAUCUUGAGAAAGGAUGGAUAAAGAGAUGCUGAUGCCUUGAGUCUGCUGUGCCAAGCAGAAUGUGUAGAGAAAAGUAGUGCAUUUGUGGAUGUCUCUGGGUCACUGCUCAGAAGAGUGUAUGCCUUACUGCAGAGAAAUUGUCCUAGGCUGUACUUCCUCACCCACCCAGAGAAUGAGGGGACACAGGGUUGAGAGAAGCAUGCAGGUCCAACUAGGAUUCAAGCACAUGCUCUGUUGAAGGCCUGCAUGAGAAUUAGGCCCAUCACCUCUCCUUUCUCUGGAAAUCCUCUAGGACAUUUCUUACUUUAUAAGCCCAGUCUGUGGAAGGUAUGACACCGGCAACUGGCAAAAGCUGGAGACUCACCUUGCUC